CUUGGGCGUGACCUCCAGUCUGCAGUCAUUUAACCUGCCACACACUAGGCUCAGUGCGUUUUCUGCUUGUUGUGAUAUGCUGAAUGUCUUCUUCCUUGGUGUGCGGGUAUGCUGAGGCUGCUGCUGGUAUCCCAGAAAGUGUGGCAUACGGCUGGGUCGCAGUCUGGAGAGUUGCAUGGUGCAGAGCCACAGCCACUUAGUGGAGUUAACAGAGGCCCCAAGCAGUGAGGAGGCCACAACUGACCAACGGCAGCAGACCAGUACUUGACAUGUUGUUUGGCUUAAAUGACACUGAGACUUUUAGCUUUCUUAGCUUCAGCCUUGUUUUAACUCUUUUGUCUAUUUCCUUAAAUGCAUUAAUAAACUUGGAGGCUAUAUUUUGCACA